GGUUGUCUAAUAAUAUUUCUUUAAUUUUUUUUUAAAUUCUCCUCACACAUUAUAUGGUUUAUCUCUUAAACAUCACAUUUUUUUUCCUAAAGAAAAAAUAAGAUAGUGCAGUUAUUAUGUUUUAACCACAGACUACCAAUGAUAUCACAGAACUUCAAGGUGAGGUGGAACAGAAAACGUGUGGUUUUUUUUUUUUUUAAUAUCAGCAUAUACACAGGACUAACAGGUUUCUAUGCCACCUUAGGACUGCUUUACAAGUUCAAUUAGCUUGGAGACCCUGUGCUGUCUGAAAUACAUGUAUGUAUGUAUAUGCACGUACAUACCCAUUGUAGCAAUUUGCUGUUGCAAAACAGCCUGGUAAAUUCCCUCAGGAAAAAGAAAAGCAAGUCAAAGGACAGUUUUAGACAAAGAUAGGUAGACUUACCAAACACACAAUAAAAGCCAUAUUAACAGACAAAAAAGGGUAUGCUGAAACACCUACCUUUGCAAGCACAAAAUUUAAAAUUAUACACCAAAAUGCAUCCCUGUAUCUAUUCCACCCAAUAUGUUACUUAAGCCAUAUAAAAGUAAGCCAAAUGUACCAUGCACAAGAUAUGCCACACAAUUUUACCAGCUUAAUUUGCAAUUACAUAAUUUCUCCUGCUGAGUAUUCUUUGGGACUUGUAUUAUUUAAAGGCAUUCUUUUUGUACUUUUCUGCUUUGACUCUGCAUAAACUAGUUAAAAUAUUUUUUAAAGAUAUCUUGUCCACAAAACUAGCAGAGAAGGUAAUUAGCAGGAAUUUUAAUACCAUAAAGAGUUUUGUAAGUUAUGCCACAGAAAACAAAACACAUAGACCAAGCCUAGGGUAGGGUAGUGCUGAGCAUACUGUUAGCAAGUAAACUUGGAGAAAUUCUUCCAUACUGUUUCUUAUGCAAAUACAAAUUAAGGUCUUAAAACACACAGAGAAUUUACAUUUAAGAUCGUUUUUGAAAAUGUAUUGUCUGGACACUGCCGAAGCUUUCAUGCUCUCAUCAUGGAUCAGAUGCUGUAAGAUUUAUCUCAAGACUGCAAGUGAAAUCCUCUAGUGAUCCACAGCCUGAUAAAAGGCUCCCAAGACUGGAUACACAUUGAAAAAUUAGCACAGAGUUUAAAGGGGAAAAUAGAAGCUGUGUGUUAAUUCCCAUUCAGACAGGAAAUCAAGACCUGCCAGGUUUUCAGCACAGCAUUCUGAGCAGUAUGACCAAUCAUGAGAACCAAACCCAAAAUAACAUUUUCAUGUGCCCAUUAACUUCCAUGGACCUUUUCUAGCCUUGUUGUAGCCCUUGCCUUAGAAGGGACUUCUUAAACAAUAUUUACUGCAUCAAAACUCCACUAAUUUUUGCAACUGGAUUUUGGAUACUAGUCCAGAAAGUUGCUUUAUUUUGUCAUUGGUUCUGAAAGUUCAAGCUG
rnacentral:lncRNA from 1 species